rnacentral:rRNA from 1 species
AACGCGAAGGAACUUACCUUCUCUUUACAUCCAGAGAACCUGGCAAAAAAUGCAUUGGUGCCUUCGGGAACUCUGAGACAGGUGCUGCAUGGCUGUCGUCAGCUCGUGUUGUGAAAUGUUGGGUUAAGUCCCGCAACGAGCGCAACCCUUAUCCUUUGUUGCCAGCGGUUCGGCCGGGAACUCAAAGGAGACUGCCAGUGAUAAACUGGAGGAAGGUGGGGAUGACGUCAAGUCAUCAUGGCCCUUACGAGUAGGGCUACACACGUGCUACAAUGGCGCAUACAAAGAGAAGCGACCUCGCGAGAGCAAGCGGACCUCAUAAAGUGCGUCGUAGUCCGGAUUGGAGUCUGCAACUCGACUCCAUGAAGUCGGAAUCGCUAGUAAUCGUAGAUCAGAAUGCUACGGGAAU